UACGUAGGGGGCAAGCGUUGUCCGGAAUUAUUGGGCGUAAAGCGCGCGCAGGUGGUGGAUUAAGUUGUGGGUAAAAGGCAAUGGCUCAACCAUUGUAAGCCUGCAAAACUGGUUCACUUGAGUGCAGGAGAGGGGAGUGGAAUUCCCGGUGUAGCGGUGGAAUGCGUAGAGAUCGGGAGGAACACCAGUGGCGAAGGCGGCCUUCUGGACGGUGACUGACGCUGAGACGCGAAAGCGUGGGGAGCAAACAGG
rnacentral:rRNA from 1 species